rnacentral:pre_miRNA from 1 species
UCUUAUGGAUGAGCAAAGAAAGUGGUUUCUUGCAAUGCAAUCUACUCUUGGUGAAGAUGCUAUGAA